AAAAGACAUACAAGGGAUUGCCAAAUUGGUGAUCCACUUGAAUGAGAGAGUUUCAAACGUACUCUUGAGUAACAAUUAGAGGGCAAGUCUGGUGCCAGCAGCCGCGGUAAUUCCAGCUCUAAUAGCGUAUAUUAAUAUUGUUGUAGUUAAAAAGCUCGUAGUUGGAUUCUGGUGAUUGGUUCAUGGCUGAUUGUCAUAUUACAGCAAUGUGAGUGACAGUUAGUUGCCAGUCAUCAUUAAUGAUUGCAAUUUGUCACUGUCAUUCAUUUGAUGGUGAUCAAACAAGUUGCAAUCAGAUUACUUUGAGUAAAUUAGAGUGUUUAAAAGCAAACCGUAUUUCAAUGGUUGGUAUCUUUGCUAUUUGCAGCAAUGCAAGUAGUGAAGGUAUGAAGAUGAAUAGAUUAGCAUGGGAUAAUGGAAUAGGACUCACAGGCUAUUUCGUUGGUGUUGGG
rnacentral:rRNA from 1 species